UAGGGAAUCUUCCGCAAUGGACGAAAGUCUGACGGAGCAAUGCCGCGUGAGUGAGGAAGGCCUUCGGGUCGUAAAGCUCUGUUGUGAGGGAAGAAUAAGUAUCGGUUGAAUAAGCCGGUACCUUGACGGUACCUCACCAGAAAGCCACGGCUAACUACGUGCCAGCAGCCGCGGUAAUACGUAGGUGGCAAGCGUUGUCCGGAAUUAUUGGGCGUAAAGCGCGCGCAGGCGGCUUCUUAAGUCUGAUGUGAAAUCUCGGGGCUCAACCCCGAGCGGCCAUUGGAAACUGGGAAGCUUGAGUGCAGAAGAGGAGAGUGGAAUUCCACGUGUAGCGGUGAAAUGCGUAGAUAUGUGGAGGAACACCAGUGGCGAAGGCGACUCUCUGGUCUGUAACUGACGCUGAGGCGCGAAAGCGUGGGGAGCAAACAG
rnacentral:rRNA from 1 species